AAAAAGCUCGUAGUUGGAUUUCUGUCGAAGACGGCCGGUCCGCUCUUUGAGCGUGUAUCUGGUUCGGCUUUGGCAUCCUCGUGGGGUACGUAACUGUGCUUGGUUGCAUGGUGCGGAAUUCACGACUUUUACUUUGAGGAAAUUAGAGUGUUCACGGCAGGCAUGAGCCUUGAAUACAUUAGCAUGGAAUAAUAAUAUAGGACUUUGGUUUUAUUUUGUUGGUUUCUAGAACUAAAGUAAUGAUUAAUAGGGAUAAUUGGGGGCAUUUGUAUUAACGCGUCAGAGGUGGAAUUCUUGGAUUGCGUUACGACAAACUACUGCGAAAGCAUUUGCCAAGGAUGUUUUCAUUGAUCAAGAACGAAAGUAUGGGGAUCGAAGAUGAUUAGAUACCGUCGUAGUCUAUACCAUAAACUAUGCCGACUAGAGAUUGGAGGCCGUUCUUUCUAUGACUCCUUCAGCACCUUAUGAGAAAUCAAAGUCUUUGGGUUCCGGGGGGAGUAUGGUCGCAAGGCUGAAACUUAAAGGAAUUGACGGAAGGGCACCACCAGGAGUGGAGCCUGCGGCUUAAUUUGACUCAACACGGGAAAACUCACCAGGUCCAGACAUAGUAAGGAUUGACAGAUUGAUAGCUC
rnacentral:rRNA from 1 species